rnacentral:lncRNA from 1 species
UUUCAAACAAACAAUAAAAAUUCUUAAAGAAAUAAUAGAAGGAUCACAAUUAUCACUCAAAUACAUCUCAAUUCAAUCUUAAUUUAAUUCUAGUUAAAAUCCUAUUAAAUUUCAUUAAAACUUUAGGCCAAACCUAAUUAAAUCUUAAAUCCUAAUAAAAUCCUAUUAAACUUCAUUAAAACUUUAGGCCAAACCUAAUUAAAUCUUAAAUCCUAAUAAAAUCCUAAACCGUAAAUCAAACCCUAAAUAAAUCUUAAACCAAAUCCUCAAUCAAAUCCUAAAUCAAAUCCUAAAUCCUAAAUCAAACCCUAACAAAAUCCUAAUCCAAAUCCUAAAUAAAAUCCUAACCAAACCCUAAUCCAAAUCCUAAAUAAAACCCUAACCAAAUCCUAAACCUAAUCCUAAAUCCUAACCAAACCCUAAACCAAAUCCUAACCAAAUCCUAAUACAAAUCCUAAAUCCUAAAUCCUAAAUCAAAUCCUAAAUCCUAAAUAAAACCCUAAUCAAAUCCUAAACCAAACCCUAAAUCCUAAAUAAAAUCUUAACUAAAUCCUAAACCAAACCCUAGUAAUUCCUACAACAAAUUUAAACCUCAAUAACUAAUGAAUAAACCGU